UACGGAAGGCAGCAGGGGGGAAUAUUGCACAAUGGGCGCAAGCCUGAUGCAGCCAUGCCGCGUGUAUGAAGAAGGCCUUCGGGUUGUAAAGUACUUUCAGUCGUGAGGAAGGUGUUAAGGUUAAUAACCUUAGCAAUUGACGUUAGCGACAGAAGAAGCACCGGCUAACUCCGUGCCAGCAGCCGCGGUAAUACGGAGGGUGCGAGCGUUAAUCGGAAUUACUGGGCGUAAAGGGCACGCAGGCGGUUAAUUAAGUUGGAUGUGAAAUCCCCGGGCUUAACCUGGGAAUGGCAUUCAAGCUGGUUAGCUAGAGUCUUGUAGAGGGGGUAGAAUUCCAUGUGUAGCGGUGAAAUGCGUAGAGAUGUGGAGGAAUACCGGUGGCGAAGGCGGCCCCUGGACAAAGACUGACGCUCAUGUGCGAAAGCGUGGGGAGCAAACGAGGGAUUAGAUA
rnacentral:rRNA from 1 species